AUUGAACGCUGGCGGCAGGCUUAACACAUGCAAGUCGAGCGGAGUGAUGGUGCUUGCACUAUCACUUAGCGGCGGACGGGUGAGUAAUGCUUAGGAAUCUGCCUAUUAGUGGGGGACAACAUCUCGAAAGGGAUGCUAAUACCGCAUACGUCCUACGGGAGAAAGCAGGGGAUCACUUGUGACCUUGCGCUAAUAGAUGAGCACAAGUCGGAUUAGCUAGUUGGUGGGGUAAAGGCCUACCAAGGGGACGAUCUGUAGCGGGUCUGAGAGGAUGAUCCGCCACACUGGGACUGAGACACGGCCCAGACUCCUACGGGAGGCAGCAGUGGGGAAUAUUGGACAAUGGGGGGAACCCUGAUCCAGCCAUGCCGCGUGUGUGAAGAAGGCCUUAUGGUUGUAAAGCACUUUAAGCGAGGAGGAGGCUCUUUUGGUUAAUACCCAAGAUGAGUGGACGUUACUCGCAGAAUAAGCACCGGCUAACUCUGUGCCAGCCGCCGCAGUAAAAC
rnacentral:rRNA from 1 species